AACGUGAUGAUCGUGGUCCACAGCGCGAUCCAGCGCGCAUUGCCGCGCGCCGCCUCGUCAUCACCGCGGCUGAGAUAAAUCAGGAUCGCGCCGACGACCGGCAGGAACGUGACGACGGAAAGGAUGGGCCAGGUUGUCAUCAUUGGCCCCCGAGACCGAAGAUAAACCACGUGAUGAGACCGGCCACGCCGAUCAGCAUCGCGAAUGCAUAGUGAUAGAGAUAGCCGGUCUGGAGCCGCACGACGUUGCGCGUGACAUCGAGCACGCGCGCCGAGACGCCGUCAGGACCGAACCCG
rnacentral:misc_RNA from 1 species